rnacentral:misc_RNA from 1 species
AAUAGAAGGGCUCGAAUCGUAGAAGUGCAGAUUUUAUUAAAAUCGGAUUUUUAAAAUCGAUACAAUUUCUAUAAGAAUUAGAUCUAUAUUUGCACAAUCAAAGCACAUCAAGUGAAAGAAAUUUUAAUUUAAGUUUUUUAAGUUUUGGUCGAAAAUCGUAACACAGUUGGCGUGUACAACUGACCUAGUGUAUUCGCUAGUUAACUAGGUCGAUCAAUAUUAUACGGAGCGGAGGGAAGGAGGAUGGUUUUCCCAUAUGAGAGGUGGUGACUACCCUUAUUCAGGAGGAGAUGCGCGUGUGGAAAUUGCUCUCAGUGCGCGGCGGAAAAUUCGCCCACCCCAAACAUGUCGUCGUCUUCUAGCGAGGAUUGUCUGACGGUCGCGGAGGUGCCGGAGGAUCGCUAUGACGAGGCGAUCCACCACUUGCGAUGGAAUUUCUUCGCCGACGAGCCACUCAACAAUGCUGUGGGACUCUGCGCAAAGGGGGAAUCGCAGCUCGAGCUCGAGCGACACUGUUUGCUCACCUUGAAGCAGGGUUACUCCAGGAUGCUGGUAGAUAAGAAGGGAGCGAUUGCAGGAAUGGCACUAAAUGGAAUUUUGAAGAAGGGCGAACGCGAGGAGACAGAGCGACGUCUUUCCGAACUGGAUGACGACAAAUUCAAAACAAUCUUCGGAUUGCUCUACAAGGUGAAUGAUAAAAUUGAUCUCUUCGAAAAGUACGACGUGGACAAGCUAUUCGAGUGUCGAAUCCUUAGCGUCGAUGAGAAUUAUCGCGGCAAAGGUUUGGCUAGCAUUCUGAUGGCCGAUAGUGUGGAAACCGCCAGAAAUGCCGGUUUUAAGCAUGCUCUUCCGUUAAUAUGCAUGGGAUGAUUUUCGUUUACUACCCCACGGGUUGUAAUUACAGUGCACCAUUCGUUACUUUCCCGGAAAGGUAUGCAAGGCUGAUGCUACUGGUGCGUACUCGCAGAAGGUCUGCCUGAAGCAUGGCUUCCAAGUAGAGGCAGAGAUUCCAUACGUC